rnacentral:rRNA from 1 species
AACAGGAUUAGAUACCCUGGUAGUCCACGCCCUAAACGAUGUCAACUAGCUGUUGGGGCCUUCGGGCCUUGGUAGCGCAGCUAACGCGUGAAGUUGACCGCCUGGGGAGUACGGUCGCAAGAUUAAAACUCAAAGGAAUUGACGGGGACCCGCACAAGCGGUGGAUGAUGUGGAUUAAUUCGAUGCAACGCGAAAAACCUUACCUACCCUUGACAUGUCUGGAAUUCCGAAGAGAUUUGGAAGUGCUCGCAAGAGAACCGGAACACAGGUGCUGCAUGGCUGUCGUCAGCUCGUGUCGUGAGAUGUUGGGUUAAGUCCCGCAGCGAGCGCAACCCUUGUCAUUAGUUGCUACGAAAGGGCACUCUAAUGAGACUGCCGGUGACAAACCGGAGGAAGGUGGGGAUGACGUCAAGUCCUCAUGGCCCUUAUGGGUAGGGCUUCACACGUCAUACAAUGGUCGGGACAGAGGGUCGCCAACCCGCGAGGGGGAGCCAAUCCCAGAAACCCGAUCGUAGUCCGGAUCGCAGUCUGCAACUCGACUGCGUGAAGUCGGAAUCGCUAGUAAUCGCGGAUCAGCAUGUCGCGGUGAAUACGUUCCCGGGUCUUGUACACACCGCCCGUCACACCAUGGGAGUGGGUUUUACCGGAAGUAGUUAGCCUAACCGUAAGGGGGGCGAUUACCACGGUAGGAUUCAUGACUGGGGUGAAGUCGUAACAAGGUAACCAAUCACUAGUG